rnacentral:rRNA from 1 species
UGGGGAAUCUUGCACAAUGGGGGAAACCCUGAUGCAGCGACGCCGCGUGAGCGAUGAAGGUUUUCGAAUCGUAAAGCUCUGUCCUAUGGGAAGAUAAUGACGGUACCAUGGGAGGAAGCCCCGGCUAACUACGUGCCAGCAGCCGCGGUAAUACGUAGGGGGCGAGCGUUGUCCGGAAUUACUGGGCGUAAAGGGUUCGCAGGCGGCAUGGCAAGUCCGAUGUAAAAGGCGAAGGCUCAACCUUCGUAAGCAUCGGAAACUGUCAAGCUUGAGUUAAGGAGAGGCAAGUGGAAUUCCUAGUGUAGCGGUGGAAUGCGUAGAUAUUAGGAGGAAUACCGGUGGCGAAGGCGACUUGCUGGACUUCAACUGACGCUGAGGAACGAAAGCGUGGGUAGCAAACAGG